AGUUCGGUAGCUCAGUUGGAUAGAGCGUCUGCCUCCUAAGCGGAAGGUCGUGGGUUCGACUCCCAUCCGAACUG
rnacentral:tRNA from 1 species